rnacentral:rRNA from 1 species
UACGUAGGGUGCGAGCGUUAAUCGGAAUUACUGGGCGUAAAGCGCGCGCAGGCGGUUCGCAAAGUCUGAUGUGAAAGCCCCGGGCUCAACCUGGGAACUGCAUUGGAAACUAACGGGCUCGAGUGUGGCAGAGGGGGGUGGAAUUCCACGUGUAGCAGUGAAAUGCGUAGAUAUCAAGAGGAACACCUGAGGUGAAGACGGGUUGCUGGGCCAACACUGACGCUGAGGCGCGAAAGCCAGGGGAGCAAACGGG